rnacentral:rRNA from 1 species
CUCAGGUGUUGUUGGGUAGGGGAGCGUUCUGUAAGCCUGCGAAGGUGGCCUGUGAGGGUUGCUGGAGGUAUCAGAAGUGCGAAUGCUGACAUAAGUAACGAUAAAGCGGGUGAAAAGCCCGCUCGCCGGAAGACCAAGGGUUCCUGUCCAACGUUAAUCGGGGCAGGGUGAGUCGACCCCUAAGGCGAGGCCGAAAGGCGUAGUCGAUGGGAAACGGGUUAAUAUUCCCGUACUUGGUGUUACUGCGAAGGGGGGACGGAGAAGGCUAUGUUGGCCGGGCGACGGUUGUCCCGGUUUAAGCGUGUAGGCUGGUUUUCCAGGCAAAUCCGGAAAAUCAAGGCUGAGGCGUGACGACGAGGCACUACGGUGCUGAAGCAACAAAUGCCCUGCUUCCAGGAAAAGCCUCUAAGCAUCAGGUAACAUCAAAUCGUACCCCAAACCGACACAGGUGGUCAGGUAGAGAAUACCAAGGCGCUUGAGAGAACUCGGGUGAAGGAACUAGGCAAAAUGGUGCCGUAACUUCGGGAGAAGGCACGCUGACACGUAGGUGAAGUGAUUUACUCAUGGAGCUGAAGUCAGUCGAAGAUACCAGCUGGCUGCAACUGUUUAUUAAAAACACAGCACUGUGCAAACACGAAAGUGGACGUAUACGGUGUGACGCCUGCCCGGUGCCGGAAGGUUAAUUGAUGGGGUCAGCGCAAGCGAAGCUCCUGAUCGAAGCCCCGGUAAACGGCGGCCGUAACUAUAACGGUCCUAAGGUAGCGAAAUUCCUUGUCGGGUAAGUUCCGACCUGCACGAAUGGCGUAAUGAUGGCCAGGCUGUCUCCACCCGAGACUCAGUGAAAUUGAACUCGCUGUGAAGAUGCAGUGUACCCGCGGCAAGACGGAAAGACCCCGUGAACCUUUACUAUAGCUUGACACUGAACAUUGAGCCUUGAUGUGUAGGAUAGGUGGGAGGCUUUGAAGUGUGGACGCCAGUCUGCAUGGAGCCGGCCUUGAAAUACCACCCUUUAAUGUUUGAUGUUCUAACGUGGACCCGUGAUCCGGGUUGCGGACAGUGUCUGGUGGGUAGUUUGACUGGGGCGGUCUCCUCCUAAAGAGUAACGGAGGAGCACGAAGGUUGGCUAAUCCUGGUCGGACAUCAGGAGGUUAGUGCAAUGGCAUAAGCCAGCUUGACUGCGAGCGUGACGGCGCGAGCAGGUGCGAAAGCAGGUCAUAGUGAUCCGGUGGUUCUGAAUGGAAGGGCCAUCGCUCAACGGAUAAAAGGUACUCCGGGGAUAACAGGCUGAUACCGCCCAAGAGUUCAUAUCGACGGCGGUGUUUGGCACCUCGAUGUCGGCUCAUCACAUCCUGGGGCUGAAGUAGGUCCCAAGGGUAUGGCUGUUCGCCAUUUAAAGUGGUACGCGAGCUGGGUUUAGAACGUCGUGAGACAGUUCGGUCCCUAUCUGCCGUGGGCGCUGGAGAACUGAGGGGGGCUGCUCCUAGUACGAGAGGACCGGAGUGGACGCAUCACUGGUGUUCGGGUUGUCAUGCCAAUGGCACUGCCCGGUAGCUAAAUGCGGAAGAGAUAAGUGCUGAAAGCAUCUAAGCACGAAACUUGCCCCGAGAUGAGUUCUCCCUGAGACUUUAGGUCUCCUGAAGGAACGUUGAAGACGACGACGUUGAUAGGCCGGGUGUGUAAGCGCAGCGAUGCGUUGAGCUAACCGGUACUAAUGAACCGUGAGGCUUAACCUUACA